UACGGAGGGUGCAAGCGUUAUCCGGAUUCACUGGGUUUAAAGGGUGCGUAGGAGGGCAGGUAAGUCAGUGGUGAAAUCUCCAAGCUUAACUUGGAAACUGCCGUUGAUACUAUCUCUCUUGAAUAUUGUGGAGGUGAGCGGAAUAUGUCAUGUAGCGGUGAAAUGCUUAGAUAUGACAUAGAACACCAAUUGCGAAGGCAGCUCACUACUCAAUCAUUGACUCUGAGGCACGAAAGCGUGGGGAUCAAACAGG
rnacentral:rRNA from 1 species